rnacentral:rRNA from 1 species
CCUACGGGUGGCAGCAGUGAGGAAUAUUGGUCAAUGGACGCAAGUCUGAACCAGCCAUGCCGCGUGCAGGAAGACGGCUCUAUGAGUUGUAAACUGCUUUUGUAAGAGGGUAAACGCAGAUACGCGUAUCUGUCUGAAAGUAUCUUACGAAUAAGGAUCGGCUAACUCCGUGCCAGCAGCCGCGGUAAUACGGAGGAUUCAAGCGUUAUCCGGAUUUAUUGGGUUUAAAGGGUGCGUAGGCGGUCGGAUAAGUUAGAGGUGAAAUCCCGCGGCUCAACUUCGGAAUUGCCUCUGAUACUGUUAGGCUAGAGAGUAGUUGCGGUAGGCGGAAUGUAUGGUGUAGCGGUGAAAUGCUUAGAGAUCAUACAGAACACCGAUUGCGAAGGCAGCUUACCAAGCUACGUCUGACGUUGAGGCACGAAAGCGUGGGGAGCAAACAGGAUUAGAUACCCGGGUAGUC